UUAACCCCAGAAUCCCCUAGGACAGAAUAUCUCCUCAAAUUUGAAGUGAUUUGUUAAAGAUACAGAGUGAUAAAUGCCAUUUUGGUGAAGGUUGUUUAUUUUCCAGAUGGCUGUCCCUGCCGUCUCAGUCUGAACAGGCAGUGAUGUCCCUGUCCAGCUCAGCCUGCCCACUCCUGCUGACCUUACGGGACCAUCUGCUUCAGCCAGAGAAGCUUUGUUUCUCCUUAUUCAGAAUCUUCUGGCAAAUGCUUGUAGAGAAGCUGGAUGUAUACAUCUAUCAGGAGAUAAUCCUUGCUAAUCAUUUCAACGAAGGAGGAGCAGCCCAGUUGCAGUUUGAUAUGACACGGAUUCUUUUCCCUUGAUUUUCUCACUAUUGCAAGAGACUGGAAAACCAAUUUAAACAGUAAGCCUAAUGUCUAACCGUAAACAUUUGGUGAAUCCAAAUGCUAGAUUUUAACAAUUUCAGAGUUUCAUUGAUAUUUAUUGUAAUAUUAAAAUCUGGAGCUGGAGAGAUACUUCAACAGUUAAGAGCAUUUGCUGUUCCUGCGGAGGACUGGGGUUUGUGGUUCUGUUUCUUCCUAGGGAUCAUUGGCUGCAUGGGUCCACAAGGGUGGAGGGAGUGGAAGCGGGGAACAGGGUUCUGUGGGCUGUGGGUACGAUGGAGAUUUCCCUCUGGAAGAUGACUCUGAUGAAUCAGCUCAACUUUUUUCCAGAGUAUAAGGAAUAUACAGGAUUGGGAAUCCUGGGGAUAAACCUUAAUGUGAUUAAGUAGCAUGGUCCUGUCAUAAGGCUGUGUGUGUGGCAGCAGGGUCCUAUAGCAGAGCUCCUAGUACAAGUCUUAGUUACCAUAUGGGCAGCAGUGGAGGCUUCUAGUGGGAGACUGUGCCAAGGGCCAUGCUAGAGAGAAAUCAGGCAUCCAGGCUUAGACACAGCUUUCAGACAAGGUCAGUCCUCCGGGCCCAGGGACAUUCUCCAGAUAAGGGCAGGUAGAGAGCAGGAAGUCUCACUUC